rnacentral:rRNA from 1 species
AUACGGAGGACGCGAGCGUUAUCCGGAUUCAUUGGGUUUAAAGGGUGUGCAGGCGGCCGUGCAAGUCAGCGGUGAAAGCCCGGGGCUCAACCCCGGAAGUGCCGUUGAUACUGCAUGGCUGGAAUGCGGUCGAGGCGGGCGGAACGUGGCGUGUAGAGGUGGAAUGCGUAGAUAUUCCACAGAACCCCGAUAGCGGAGGCAGCUCGCCAGGCCUGCAUUGACGCUCGGGCACGAAAGCGUGGGGAUCGAACAGGAUUAGAUACCCUGGUAGUCCACGCCGUAAACGAUGGGCGCUCGUCGUCGGCGGCAGACAGUCGGCGGCCAAGCGAAAGCGAUAAGCGCCCCACCUGGGGAGUACGGUCGCAAGGCUGAAACUCAAAUGAAUUGACGGGG